UGUCGCUGAUGGAUGGACCCGCGGUGCAUUAGCUAGUUGGUGAGGUAACGGCUCACCAAGGCGACGAUGCAUAGCCGACCUGAGAGGGUGAUCGGCCACAUUGGGACUGAGACACGGCCCAAACUCCUACGGGAGGCAGCAGUAGGGAAUCUUCGGCAAUGGACGAAAGUCUGACCGAGCAACGCCGCGUGAGUGAAGAAGGUUUUCGGAUCGUAAAACUCUGUUGUUAGAGAAGAACAAGGAUGAGAGUAACUGUUCAUCCCUUGACGGUAUCUAACCAGAAAGCCACGGCUAACUACGUGCCAGCAGCCGCGGUAAUACGUAGGUGGCAAGCGUUGUCCGGAUUUAUUGGGCGUAAAGCGAGCGCAGGCGGUUUCUUAAGUCUGAUGUGAAAGCCCCCGGCUCAACCGGGGAGGGUCAUUGGAAACUGGGAGACUUGAGUGCAGAAGAGGAGAGUGGAAUUCCAUGUGUAGCGGUGAAAUGCGUAGAUAUAUGGAGGAACACCAGUGGCGAAGGCGGCUCUCUGGUCUGUAACUGACGCUGAGGCUCGAAAGCGUGGGGAGCAAACAGGAUUAGAUACCCUGGUAGUCCACGCCGUAAACGAUGAGUGCUAAGUGUUGGAGGGUUUCCGCCCUUCAGUGCUGCAGCUAACGCAUUAAGCACUCCGCCUGGGGAGUACGACCGCAAGGUUGAAACUCAAAGGAAUUGACGGGGGCCCGCACAAGCGGUGGAGCAUGUGGUUUAAUUCGAAGCAACGCGAAGAACCUUACCAGGUCUUGACAUCCUUUGACCACUCUAGAGAUAGAGCUUCCCCUUCGGGGGCAAAGUGACAGGUGGUGCAUGGUUGUCGUCAGCUCGUGUCGUGAGAUGUUGGGUUAAGUCCCGCAACGAGCGCAACCCUUAUUGUUAGUUGCCAUCAUUUAGUUGGGCACUCUAGCAAGACUGCCGGUGACAAACCGGAGGAAGGUGGGGAUGACGUCAAAUCAUCAUGCCCCUUAUGACCUGGGCUACACACGUGCUACAAUGGGAAGUACAACGAGUCGCAAAGUCGCGAGGCUAAGCUAAUCUCUUAAAGCUUCUCUCAGUUCGGAUUGUAGGCUGCAACUCGCCUACAUGAAGCCGGAAUCGCUAGUAAUCGCGGAUCAGCACGCCGCGGUGAAUACGUUCCCGGGCCUUGUACACACCGCCCGUCACACCACGAGAGUUUGUAACACCCGAAGUCGGUGAGGUAACCUUUUGGAGCCAGCCGCCUAAGGUGGGAUAGAUGAUUGGGGUGAAGUCGUAACAAGGUAGCCGUAUCGGAAGGUGCGGCUGGAUCACCUCCUUUCUAAGGAA
rnacentral:rRNA from 2 species